UGCGCAGGCGGUUUUGUAAGACAGGUGUGAAAUCCCCGGGCUUAACCUGGGAACUGCGCUUGUGACUGCAAGGCUAGAGUACGGCAGAGGGGGGUGGAAUUCCACGUGUAGCAGUGAAAUGCGUAGAUAUGUGGAGGAACACCGAUGGCGAAGGCAGCCCCCUGGGCCGAUACUGACGCUCAUGCACGAAAGCGUGGGAGCAAACA
rnacentral:rRNA from 1 species